rnacentral:lncRNA from 10 species
CAAAGAGGUACACACAGUCCAAGGCCAUGGGUAAGAAGAGAGAAAGCAGAUUGUCCUGAGCCCCAAGUGUCUGUGAUUCUCUUAGCUAAGUAAGGAAUCAGUGCCAGAGACAGAGGUUGCUGGAGCUGAGAGGAGACGUAGUCAAGAAGAUUGGAGAAGGCUCUGCGGAGAAGGUGAACUUGAGCUAAGACUUGAAGGGAGGGCAGGCUUGAAGGGAUGAAACAGCCUCCUCUGUGCUAAAGAGAGGAGUGACAGGGCCAUCAUCAGGCAAAGGGGACAUUACCAGGCAAAGGGACACCAUUGGUCAAAGGCGAUGGUGGAGACAAGACAUUCUGGAAGAGCCCGGAUCAGAGAGAUUUGGGGCCAGGAGCCGGCAUCAGGGGACCGGCUCCCUAAGGAACCAUGGCACCACUGGCUCUCAGCUGGAAAUAAGCAGCAGAUGAAGCACAUGCAUCCUGAGUUUUGGCUCUGGUGAUGGUGGUGGAGCUGUUAAUUCUUGGAGUCCAAAUUCCUGCACCACCUCUGAGUUCCGAGGGGGUGGGGAAGAGCAAGUGAUGGCUGGACAGCAAAGAGGAGUGGAGGCCGGGAGAAUGGGCAGCUAGCCCAGCGCUCUCCAAUAUCUGGGAGUCGACCGCACUCCUGCACUCCCUGUCAUCCCUGCUAAUGGUAUUACCAUUGCUCCAAUCUUACAGAUGAGGAAACUCAGGCAUGGAGAGGUUGAGCGACUUGCCCAAAUUCAUGCAGUUAGGACCUGGCAGAGCUGCGCUUUGAACCCAGGCUGCCUGGCUCUAGAGUGUGUGCACGAAACUUCACUGCCAUAUGAACAAAACUGCAGGACAUAUGUUCUCAAAGCAAAUAAGCCUCCCAGAGAGGCUUUUCCUGAUGGCUUCAAGGACCUGCCCUAGCCUGGUCUGACUUCCCAGAGGGGAUCCAGUCCCAACAUUGGCCCUAUCUUUAGACCACAUUUCCAUCCCAUUCUCAGUGAAAACCCUGAGUCAUGACAGAAGACAACCAAUGCUGGAGAGAGGAGGUUUCAGGAUCUGAGGGGCACCCGCAGCAGUGCAGACGGACCGCUCCAUUCCGUCAGAGGCCACACUUAUUUCACCAGUUCCAUCCUGAUGUUUUCCAGACUUCUACAUAACAGAUGAUUCACCAGUGUGUCCCCCCAUGGAUGCCUCUGCUCACAUAGAAAGGGUUAAUUCUUGGAAGCUGAGGUGCUGUCAAAGGGCAUCUGACAGAUCAGCCGCCCUCUGCUCCAGGGGUGUGGUCUUCCUCUCCGACCCAUGAUGCGUGGCAGCCUGGCUGCCCACACCCUCAGAUCCCUGAGCAGCAGUGUCUCGCUGUGGUUUUAUCAGCAGUCUUUUUAAAUUAAUUUUUUUUUUUCUGUCACUUGCCUGGAUGGAAUCAGCAGUCUUUUUAUUAUGAGGGAGAUCAAGCACCUUUUCAUGUUAAAUCCCUCCUCCUUUUUUUAUCCUUUUCCUGUGAGCUACCUGUUUUUCUCUUUUAUCAGGCCUGGAUAUUUUGGGGCAAUGCUGGGCUGUCCUAGUACUCCCUGCCUGUUCCAGUUGAUCCAGGCUCCUUAAAGCUCCAACAGUGUGGAUUCUGUGAGCAUCAUGAAAGCCCAAGGGUGGUGGUCUCUCCAGGUGUCAGAGAGCCAAUGGUGAGUGAGAGAACCCCCCGGCCAGGGCAGCAGAGAAGCCUCAUGCCCACCAGUGCCAAUAGCCUGGCAUGGGAGCAGCCCUCUUUGUACAGGAAAAUGGGCCACAUUUGUCUUUAACAUUUGCUUCUUGUCCAAAGCAUUUUAGAGUGUGAUGGACAUGAAAUGAUGGAGACAGUGUGUAUCUACUUCCCUUGAAAGCUCCUCCAGCGAAUCCAGAGCCAGCAUCUUCCUGUAGCAUCUGCCCCUCCCUCCCUUUCAGGCCUGUGGUAACAUCUCCUCCUGCAGAACCUGGGCCCUGCUAUCCUGCUAUCAAAGGGUGGAGAGCCUGAUGGUCUGUGAAAUUCCCAGGGAAGGUUCAGGUAUCAGAAAUGCACUGAAGAACCACCUGAGCUCACUCUGUUAAUGGCGAUAUUUCACGUGAUUUAUCUGGAAGGGUUGGUAACUGAUAUGGUAACAAAUCUCAUCUUGAAUUCCCACAUGUUGUGGGAGGGAUCUGGUGGGAAGUAACUGAAUCAUGGGGGCAGGUCUUUUCUGUGCUGUUCUCUUGAUAGUGAAUAAGUCUAACGAGAUCUGAUGGUUUUAAAAAGAGGAGUUCCCCUGCACAAGCUCUCUCUCCCUGUCUGUCUGCUGCCAUCCAUGUAAGAUGUGGCUUGCUCCUCCUUGCCUUCUGCCAUGAUUGUGAGGCUUCCCCAGCCACUUGGAACUGUAAGUCCAAUUAAACCUCUUUCUUUUGUAAAUUCCCCAGUCUCGGGUAUGUCUUUAUCAGCAGCGUGAAAACGGACUAAUACAGAAACUUAGCCUGGAGGUCCUGAUUAACAGCUAACGCCUCCACCCUUACACAUAGCUUCUGUUUUGUAGUAAGUGCUCAAAUGACUGUUGAAAGAAGAAAUCACGAACAACUGUCUGACUGCCCUCUCUUUUGUCUAGAGGUAGUACAGUUCAAAUUGGUUCGGUGGUACUGUGUUUACAAAGUCCACUUUCUGACAGCUCCAACCAGCUUUCUUGCAAAUUUCAAAAGCCUCUUUCUUUGGGCCUGGGAACUAGGUUGGCCAAAUAAAAUACAGGAGACCCAGUUAAAUUUGAAUUUCAGGUGAACAACAAGUAAUAUUUUUGGUGUGUGUCACAAACAUUGCAUGGGACAUACUUACUGUUUUUGAUUCCUGUGGCUGCUGUAGGAAAUGACCAUAAACUUGGUGGCUUAAAACAACAGAUAUUCAUUCCCUCACACUUCUGAAGGCCAAAGUCCAAAAUCAGGAUCACUAGGUUGAAGCUAAGGUGUCAGCAGGGCCACACUCCCUCUGGAGCUCCAAGAGAGAAUUGGUUCCUGGACUUUUCUGGCUGCUGGUAGCUGCCAGCAGUCCUUGGCUUGUGGCCACCUCACUCCAAUCUCUGCCUCCAUCACCACAUUGUCUUCUCUUCUGUGUUUUCCAUCUCUCUCUUCCUUCCUCUUACAAGGAUGAGUGUGACUGCAUUUAGGACCUACCUAGAUAAUACAGGAUAAUCCCCCCAUCUCAAAAUCCUUAAUUUAACCACAUCUACAAAGACCCCUUUUCCAAAUAAGAUCACAUUUACAGGUUCUGGAGAUUAGGACCUGAUAUCUUUGAGGGACAUUAUGCAGCCUAUGCCAAUUAUUUGUUGUUAUCUGAAAUUCUAAUUUUCACAGAUGCCCUGUGUUUUAAUUUGCUAAUUCUGACAGCCCUACCUGGGACCACACCUUAUUAGGAGACAGCAAGGAUUUAAGUGAUUUUCCUUCAACUGGCACCACCCUUCCUUGUGUGGUGGGGAGAGGCCCAGUCCACAGACCCAGCCCUGUUCAUCAAGAUCUUUUAUCUUUGAAGUGGGGCUUAUAGUUUACAGUGGCAUUCCAGUUUUCAGGAGAAUCUAAGGCAUUUGGCUUAACUUUUGAACAGAUCAUGGCAAACAGUACAUGUAUUCCCACUUUUAGCAUUCAAAACUCCAAAUACAGACCUGUUCCCCUCCACCCUCCAGGAAGGUGGAAAGAUGAACAAAUAAAUAUAUAAGUUAUGUAUCUGUUCCCCUUUCUGUUCUCAAGUCUCUUUAAGAAAGCCUUUUUUUUUGUUGUUUGUUUGUUUUUUUGAGAGCAGGUCUCGUUCUGACGCCCAGGCUGCAGUGCAGUGGUGCCAUCAUGGCUCGCUGCAGCCUCAAUUUCCUGGGCUCAAGUGAUCCUCCUGCCUCAGCCUCCUGAGUAGCUGGGACUACAAGCGCACACCGCCAUGCCCAGCUAAUUUUUAAAAAAUUUUUUGUAGAGACAGGGUCUCCCUAUGUUGCCCAGGCUGGUCUCGGACUCCUGGCCUCAAGUGAUCCUCCCAUCUUGGCCUCCUAAAGUGCUGGGAUUCCAGGCGUGAGCCACUGCACCUGGCCCUGUUUUUGUCAUUUGAGACAGGUUCUCGCUAUAUCGCCCAGGCUAGUUUCAAACUCCUGGGCUCAAGAGAUCCUCCUGCCUCAGAUUCCCCAGCAGCUGGGACUACAGGCGCAGCCACUCACCAGUGUGGCCUUAGGGUUUUUGUAGUCAAUAUUGAACUCACCCACUCAUCCAUUUAUUCACUCGUGAAUCAAUUACUGAGUGCUUAUUCUGUGCCAUGCGCUAUGCCCGGCACAGAAGACACAAAGAUGAAUAAAGCAUCUCCCUGCGAUGGGCGAGUGAGGGAGGCUGGAUCCCUGGGGAAGCCCAAAGAGUGGAAUUAGACAACAUUGUGGAAAUUAAACACAAAUAACGGGCACUAGUGAUGUGAAGGCAGCAUGAUUCCAUUUGAUGUGAAACUAGAAGGAUAGAAACUCAUUUACCAAUUAUCUUUAAAUUCUAACAACUAUUUUUAGCCUUUAGAUGUGGAAAAAAUAACUUGUAUUACAGGAUGUGUUACCUAACUGUCUGCUUUAACAUGAUGGUGGUUUUCCUCCUUCUGUCUUCUAGAUCCCUGGAAAUGUGGGUGCAUAUGAGGCUCCCUCUGCCUCCUCCCACAGCCAUAUGAGCUGCCGCCUCCUAGGAGAACCUGGCAGGGCUGGCAGCACCCCCAGCUCCCCAGUUCAGCCCAGAAGGGGGCUGCCUGGACUCCAAGAUUUCUCCCUUCACCCGCGGCUGCCUCCUGCCCCCAUGACUACAGUGUGGUGAGCACUUUUUGGUACAAAUUAUGCCUCACUGCAAAUACAUCUUAGUUUUUUUUUUUUUUUUUUUUAAGGAAAAAGCCAUCUGUUGAUUUAUUUAUCAUAUGGCACAAAUUCUCAAGCUGAAAUUCCAGGUCUCUGCCCAUGAAAAACAAAACAAAAGCAAAAACACUUUUUUUUUGUCUUUGGGGGAGAAAAGCAGUGAGGCACUGGCAGUUUAAUAAAGGGUAGGACCCCUAGGCUAAAGCAGUGAAUGGGAAAGCUAGGGGGAAGACCAUGCCCCAGGGAGCAGAAGCCCAGGCAUAAGAAGCACAAAUCCUGGGUUCGAAUCCCCUACCGGCCUCAAAUUAGCCACGGGACUCCAGGUGCCACUUGACUUCCCUGAAUCCCUCUGAACCUCCCUGAAUCUCAACGUCCUAAUCUGUAGAAGAGGGGAAGGAAUUUUUCACUCACAGGCUCAUGUUAAGAAUCAAAUGAGAUCAUAUAAACUGUAAAGUACUAUCCACUUGUUAGUAAUUUGGGGAGUGGGGGGACCUCCCAGCACCCUGAAAUCACAUCGUGUGGGCUACCCAAGUGUGAGGACACCCCGUGCCUGUGUGUUUCCAGUGCCCCCAUAUCACUCUCCUGUCUCAAACACCUAGAGGUUGACAUCCAAAUAACAAUAUUAAAGUGACUCAGAUUUAUUAUUUUUUUGAAAUGGAGUCUCACUCACUCUGUCGCCCAGGCUGGAGUGCAGUGGCGCGAUCUCAGCUCACUGCAACCACUGCCUCCCAGGUUCAAGUGAUUCUCGUGCCUCAGCCUCCCAAAUAGCUGAGAUUACACGUAGUGCUCCACCAGGCAUGGCUUUUUUUUUUUUUUUUUUUUUUUUGAGACAGAGUCUUGCUCUGUCAACCAGGCUGGAGUGCAGUGGCACCAUCUCAGCUCACUGCAACCACCUCCUGGAUUCAAGCGAUUCUCUCCUGUCUCAGCCUCCCUAGUAGCCAGGAUUAUAGGCACAUGCCAUCAUGCUUGGCUAAUUUUUAUGUUUUUAGUAGACACGGGGUUUCACCCUGUUGGCCAGGCUGGUCUCAAACUCCUGACCUCAGGUGACCACCUGCCUCAGCCUCCCAAACUGUUGGGAUUACAGGCAUGAGCCACCACACCCAGCCUAAUUAUUUGUAUUUUUAGUAGAGACAGGGUUUUGCUAUGUUGCCCAGGCUGGUCUUGAACUUCUGGCUUCAAAUGAUCUGCCCACCUCAGCCUCCCAAAGUGCUGGGAUUAUAGGAGUGAGCCAUCACGCCCAGCUGACUUCGAUUUGUUAUUGGGACUGACCUUCUAAUUAGUCCAGAUUGGAUCAAUAUUUGUGUAUCCAGAAAGCCAGGUAGUCCCAAGUGUUCUCUGCACAUUGUGGGCCCAGUAGGAGGCAGGGCUUAUCCCACUGGAAGGUGGCAGUCUUAGGAGCCUUAGUAGUGGAGUCCCCGUGACAUGGGGUCCAGGUGUCGAUCUCUCUGUUGCCAUUGGGCAGCCCAGGGCACACUGGUUGCAUCUGUCCCCCGGGCACAGGGUGUUCGUGGUCUAAGGCUAUGACCAGUGUGCCCUGGGCUGCCCAAUGGCGACAGAGAGAUGCCCUCUGCCCAGCUCCUAAUUUUGCACUCAGGGCUGUGUGCCAAGGUGCCCGCACUCUGCAGCUCCCGCUGGGAUCCAUGGGGGCCUAUGCAGGCCAUGCUCGGGGCCAGGACUGAUGAUACUGUCUCCAGGUGGCUCCACCCUUCAGUUUUGGAUGCUUCUAAAACUUUUCUUGAAGAAUGACUCAGUACUCACCCUUAAUACAAUUUAUAGGCUGAAAUGAUCCCUCUGCCUGCUCCACCUGCUCCAAACCCUGAUAAAACAGAAACUAGGGUGGGAUAUCACAUAUGGUAUCUUCACUUUGUAGCUGGUGGAUUUUCUUAAAUGUGGAGGAGAACGUGGGAGGCAAGACCAGAACUGAGAAAUGACUCUUGCUUUUAGUUAGAGGGAGGGUGGCUGUGGGAAGUGUAUUUCAACGCCAUGAAAGUACCCUGUGAGGUUGCAAAUUCUAAGUAAUUCGAUAUGCAUAACCCCAGCCUCAGCUGUGUGAGCUCCUCCCUUCUCUGUUCCCCAUCACUCCCCCUUUUCCUGGUCCCAGAGUGUGAACCACAUUGGUGUAGACAUGGGGAAAGUAAAGUGGAUUUUUGAGGAAGGGGGAUCAGGUAGUGUAGCCCAACAGACUAGAAAAUACAGACUCAGUCUCCUCACCUCCCCUCUCACUGUGACCCUUUUUCUUAACAGUAGAGGGCUGACUUUGUCUGCCUUGCUCAGGGAAACCGCCCCACUUUUAAUUAAAUUUCUCCCUGUAGAUGCUGUCUGGGAAGCUGAAUGUCAUCUUCCCUGGGCUUACCUGCCAGGCUCCUCUCAUCCACAUCUUCCAGCCUCUAGCCACAUGGACCCCUCCGGAAAGCAUGUGUGUGUGGGGGGUAUGUGUGAACAUUUUUCAUGCUUGAUGUGAGCCGGAAGAAAAAUGAGCUUCUCUAUUUGAUAAGUGUGGACCUGCCCACAGCACUAAAUUUGGUUCUGCCGUCACCGGCGCCAUGAAGCAGCAGCCUGGUUUAGAGGCUUGCCUUUGGUUUCAAAUAAUUUCUCCAGGCUCAUGUUACAUAUGACCCAUUCACAGAGGCUGGAGGGCAUGGCUUCUCCAGUCCUUAGCACUAAAGACGUGUCUUUUGGCUCCUGCACGACUAGCACAGGCAGUAGAACCAGAUGGGGGAUGCUCUGAGGUUGCAGAGGCAGGAAGGCAAGCGGGAGAGAGCUUGGGCCUGGACAGAGGGAUGAGCUGGCUCCCUCCCCAGCUGUGAAAUCUCUGAGUCUCAGUUUGCUUCUCUGCAAAAUGAGGAUAAUAAUCCCCACCUCGGGACUGAGGAUUAACGAGGCAAUGGUUUUAGCAGAAUAAUCCACUGCUGCUAUUAUUAUCAGCAUCUUCGUAUAGCAAAACUCAUUUGGACCAAUGGGGAGUGCGUUAAGUUGGUCUGAAGUAGGGCAAAGGAACGAUUAUAGAAUGUUUCAAAGGAAAUGUGUUUUUUAUUAUUUCCAUGUAUAUAGAGUACUGGAACUGAGUGCUAGGAGGUGGAGAACUGACUUGAUUUAAAUAAGGAGAGCUCAUUUGACAUUGGCCUGUUUGAUUUCUCAACAUCCAACUGUGUUAAUAAAGAGGGUUUUGAGCUAUCUAUGUGCCCAGCUCUGUGACUGGAGAAGGAAAGUCACAUAAGACACAGUCCUUGCCCUCACAGGACGUGCAACCUGUGGGCAGAUGAGUCCUACACAGGAAGCGGGGGCAAGAAGGAAACUGUGAGGCACUGGGGAGCACGGCGCUGCCACAGGUGAGAGGAAACGCGUAGCCUCUGGACCUUGAGUGCCAAGGCUGGGGAAAGCUUCGGGGAAGAUGGACACUGAGGAAGGUCAGGUCAAUUUAAAUAGGGGGUGGGGCAGGGAGAGAGGGGCAAGGCUGCCAUGGGUGAGCAAGGGGCAGAAAGAGCACGGCAUCUAUGAAGGAGCCACAGGGCAGGCUGGCAGGAGGCGGGACUGGGCAGGGAGGUGAGCCAAGGUGUGGGGACCCGGGCAGGCAGCUCGAGGCCAGCUUGGCUUAGCAGGCGAUGCCCAUGGCAGGACCACACUUGGAGAGGGCCAGGGCAGGUGACGGGGUUGCUCUGGGAGGAAUUUGGCAAUGGCAUGCAAAACGGAUUGGAUAUGAAUUUUGGAAUUGAAACAGGGAACAACUCAUUAUUGUUUCCAUAAGGAUCCGAGGGUGAGAUGAUAAGGUCUAAAAUCAUUUUAUCGCUGGUGAGAGUGUGACUGGAAACAGAGGGGCAAACUGAGGCAAUGCCUGGAAGAAACUGGCGGGUCUGUUCCAGGAUGUGGAGGGAGAAGAGCUUAAGGCUCCAUGGCUUGCCACAUUCGGGACUGGAAGAUGGCAAAUUCCAGUGACCGAAGUGCACAGACCAGGUGGUAAUGGGGGCAGCAUUUUACUAAAACGCAAGGCUAUGGGGCCACUGGACACCCAGGACUGGCACUCAAACCUGGCCACGCUGGAGAAGAGAUGGGCCAUUGUCAGGGUGGGGGUUAUGCAUACACCCUGAAAUACCUCCCACCAUCCACGCUCCGGAGAAACCCUCCAUUUACAGGGUGAAGGCAAACUGACUUUAGCCCCGCUCUGGCUCAAUUCAAAUGCCAGGUGCAAGCAGUUCAAUUAACGCGCCUGCCCCGUGCCUUUGACACCAAACAGAUGUCAGAAUAUUACACCAUCCAAGUCAAUGCCUGGCUUUAAUUUAAUCACUCAUGCCUUAAUCGAUUCCUGUCACAUGCUAAACACUGUGAGUGGUGGGGAGAGGCUGCUCCUAGGCAUAAUUAGAAUAUGAGAUUCUGUACCAAGUCCCUGUCUGGUUAGGAAAAAACUGAAAACUCCAGAAAAAACAGAAAAGCUCCCAGGAAAUUCCAUCCAAGGGUCGUGACUUGAGCCCAGAAGGAAGUCCCAGCCCUUCCCCAGAGAAGUCAGCACUGGCAGGGGCUGGAAAUCACUUGAGGUCAUGCUCAAGGCACCCCCACCCACUGUCUUGCACCCUGGUUUGGGGCUCCUUCCUUCCAAAGAAGGGGACAGACAAGAUCAGUGCAGGCUGGGCUGUGGCCACCCAUGCAUCCCUCCUGGGCACGGACCCUGCUGGCUCAGCCCUCACCCCUAGGAACCAGCUGCACCGUCUGACUGACGCUAAGGGAGCCAGGUGGCAGCAGCUAUACUAUUUCAGGUCAGGCUAAAGUCAGCCCACCAAAGACUUCAGAUCAGCACCUGACUGCGGCUCCUGGGAGGCAUCCCCCAGCCCUGCAGCACUUCUGAGAAGCUCAAAGGAAUUCUCUUAAGUUGUUUUAUUUCAGUUCUAUGACUAUGCGAACAGAAGAGAGACCACAUUAUCAUCCAUUCUGAGGGGGAAGACAGUAUAAUCUCCAUUUCUCAGAUGGAAAUAUGGAGGCAUGGGAAAUCUUAAUCUUGGCCAAAAAUCUCUUAGUUGACAAAUGAAUUCAGGGCUUGGCAACCCUAAGCAGCCAGUGAUAACAGGGGCCCACAAAUGAGGGAGUAGCUUGCUUCUGGAAUUCAGUCUUACUGGUAACAAACGAUAAGAUCUUUUUAAAAGUCUUUUUAUUUUUAUUUUUUUUAACUUGGCCCAGAUUGUCAACUUAUGAAUCCUACUGAUUAAAAAUUUUUUCUUGCAUUUCUCAUCAGCCAUCGAACAUUGGUUCAUGAUUAUUUAUAGCACUUAAUGACAUUGAAAGGGAUUUAUUUCAAUUUAUUCAGUCUUUAUUAACACUCCACAGGGAACAGAGUGCAGCCGCCACUGGCCUUUUCUCAGGCACAGUUGAGAUGCUAAGAAGGGAGGAACUUCACCACUAAAGGAAGAACUGAACCCGGUGGAGAGAAGCCCAGGAGGCAAGUUAUCCCUAUAGGAUUAUCCAGGAAAAAUAUUAAAUAGGUUUUAAUAAGGUUCAGGUGAGUUUAUGAAUGAUCACUUCAUUAUUCAAGCGGAUUUAGGGAUGUUCUGCAAAAUCCUCCGUUUCUAAGCUGGCCUCAUGGGGACCAGCAGCAGAGGCAGAGGCUGAGCCGCUGCACUGGGGAUUGGGGCCAGCGUGGAAUUUCCCCUGCUCAUAGGGAAAAGACAAGACAGAAAACGGAUGGUGGGAGGGCUGAUGACUCUUCCAAAUGGCUAUUCCUGAUGUUUCCUGGCAAUGAGCAGCUAUGAAAGGGACAGGUUCACAUGCGACUACACCAUGACUUUUGCUGUGCCCCAGUGUAACAGGAGGUUAUAGACAACAGUUUUAUUUGCAUAUAUAACCUUUGCUUGGCUUAUUAACAUAUUGCUGAUUUAAAUUCUGAUACAUUGUCAAAGUAGAAAGCUGUUCGGGUUUUUGGCAAGCCCAGUAUAAAAAAUGCAGGCAUGCAACAAAUAGGUAGUGAAUAUUCACAUUUAAAUACAUGUAAAUAUAAAUAGAAUUAAAAAAAAAAAGUUUAGAGACAGGGCCUUGCUGUGUUACCCAGGCUGGAGUGCUAUGGGACAAUCAUAGCUCACUGUAGCCUUGAACUCCUGGGCUCAAGCGAUCCUCCUGCUUCGGCCUCCCAAGUAGCUAGGGCUACAGACACAUGCCAUCAUGCCCAGCUAAUUUUUACAGUUUCCUUUUGUAGAGACAGGAUCUUGUUUUGUUGCCCAGGCUAGUCUCAGACUCCUGGCUUCAAGUGAUCCUCCCACAGUGCUGGGAUUACAAGUGUGAGCCACCGAGCCUGGCCU